UACGUAGGGUGCGAGCGUUGUCCGGAAUUAUUGGGCGUAAAGAGCUCGUAGGUGGUUUGUCGCGUUGUUCGUGAAAUCUCACGGCUUAACUGUGAGCGUGCGGGCGAUACGGGCAGACUGGAGUACUGCAGGGGAGACUGGAAUUCCUGGUGUAGCGGUGGAAUGCGCAGAUAUCAGGAGGAACACCGGUGGCGAAGGCGGGUCUCUGGGCAGUAACUGACGCUGAGGAGCGAAAGCGUGGGGAGCAAACAGG
rnacentral:rRNA from 1 species